AUUGAACGCUGGCGGCAUGCUUUACACAUGCAAGUCGAACGGCAGCGCGGGCUUCGGCCUGGCGGCGAGUGGCGAACGGGUGAGUAAUGCAUCGGAACGUGCCCAGUAGUGGGGGAUAGCCCGGCGAAAGCCGGAUUAAUACCGCAUACGACCUGAGGGUGAAAGCGGGGGACCGAAAGGCCUCGCGCUAUUGGAGCGGCCGAUGUCGGAUUCGCUAGUUGGUGGGGUAAAGGCUUACCAAGGCGACGAUCCGUAGCUGGUCUUAGAGGACGACCAGCCACACUGGGACUGAGACACGGCCCAGACUCCUACGGGAGGCAGCAGUGGGGAAUUUUGGACGAUGGGGGCAACCCUGAUCCAGCCAUGCCGCGUGCGGGAAGAAGGCCUUCGGGUUGUAAACCGCUUUUGUUCGGGAAGAAAUCCUCUGGGCUAAUACCCCGGGGGGAUGACGGUACCGGAAGAAUAAGCACCGGCUAACUACGUG
rnacentral:rRNA from 1 species